CAGCCCCUGCCCCAUUUUUUUAGCAAGAACAAAAUUAAAUGUCGGGACCCAGGGUUGUAGCUCAGUGGUGGAAUGCAUCUGCGUUUGGGCCUGGGUUAAACCCCCAGCGUCAGAAGAAAAAAACUGUUUAAGCAUUUGUCUGAAAAAAGUAAAAAGGAUCUGAGACUGUCUCCCGACGUGAUGGCGCUUUGUAGCGAUCCACUGGGCGCUUGCUUGGUGCUCGAAUGACGCUGAGGGCUUUGCAGACGCGCGCUCCAAGUUUGCACCGCUCCCGGCGCGUGCGCGCGGAGCUGUCCGGCGGCUGGUGCCCGGGACGCCGAGGGACGCGCCUGCCACAGCGGGGCGGGCCUGGGGCUCCAAGCCUGUCUGUCGUGGGAGACACUUGAGCGGUGGAUGAAUCCGGCUUUUUACGUCCUUCUGCAGUUGCUCCCGUAGCCUGCAACCCCAAGGCUUAGGCAUUGCCGUGAGGGAAUGCUUUGAGAGGACUGCUUAGGAACCAGGCAUGAGAAUCAAACUGAGGACCUUGUGCUUGCCAGGCAC